rnacentral:rRNA from 1 species
GACGAACGCUGGCGGCGCGCCUCAUACAUGCAAGUCGAACGUGAAGCCCGGAGCUUGCUCCGGGUGGAAAGUGGCGAACGGGUGAGGAACACGUGAGGAACCUGCCCCGAAGACCGGGAUAACACCGGGAAACCGGUGCUAAUACCGGAUGCCCUCAUCGGAUCUCAUGGUACGAUGAGGAAAUGGAUUCCGCUUCGGGAUGGCCUCGCGGCCUAUCAGUUUGUUGGUGGGGUAACGGCCCACCAAGGCUUCGACGGUUAGCUGGUCAGAGGGGAUUUCCAGCCACACUGGGUCUGAGACACGGCCAAGACUCCUACUGGCGGCAGCAGUAGGGAAUCUUGCGAAAUGUGCGAAAGCCUGACGCAGCGACGCCGCGUGCGGGAUGAAGGCCCUCGGGUCGUAAACCGCUUUCAGCAGGGACGAAAUUGACGGUAACUGCAGAAGAAGCCCCGGCCAACUACGUGCCAGCCGCCGCUGUAA